GCCUUGGUGAUGAAAUGGUAGACAUGACAGAUUCAAAAUCUGUUGCUCGCAAGGGUGUGCCGGUUCGAGUCCGGCCCGAGGCACCA
rnacentral:tRNA from 1 species